GGAAAGCACUUACUGUUUGCUCAGAUACAUAUCGAAGACAUUUAUUCAUCUCGUCGCUCCUAUGUCUGAAGAUGGGUUCGCUUGAAUACAUGUUUAAUGUCAAGGGAUGAUAUUGGAUGUAGCUUAGGACUGCGAUAUAAGAAGGCUCAACUUGAUUUUUUAUUCAACAACUCUCCAAUUUAAGUUUUCUACGACAACUAAUUCCUAACGGGAAAAUAUGUUCGCAGCUUACAUACUAAAUAUGUGUAUAUAUGUAUAUGACAUAUAGAAAUCACUGGUGCGGGAAACGUAUCUUAUAAGUAUUGGUGAGAAAAUUUAAAUAUGGUUUAAGUAGAGCGCACAGAUUUACCGAACCAUAAAAAUGAAAAAUCUCUAGAGAUGCUCAUUCGUAUUCGCGUAUAAUCUGCACAUGCCAGCGAUGUUACAUACACAGGCAGAUAAAAUAUUCCUACAAAUGGAAAACGGUUUUAGGUAUUCACUGGUCACGCAAUUGCAUAUUAGCUUUAAUAUCAGUGUUCACCUAUUAUUUGUGACAUUUGGGCUUGCGAGAAUGGUUUGUGAGGUUAUGCUGCGUUAAUAAUAAAGUUGAUAGCAUUUUUGAA